rnacentral:rRNA from 1 species
GACGAACGCUGGCGGCGUGCUUAACACAUGCAAGUCGAACGGAAAGGCCCUGCUUUUGUGGGGUGCUCGAGUGGCGAACGGGUGAGUAACACGUGAGUAACCUGCCCUUGACUUUGGGAUAACUUCAGGAAACUGGGGCUAAUACCGGAUAGGAGCUCCUGCUGCAUGGUGGGGGUUGGAAAGUUUCGGCGGUUGGGGAUGGACUCGCGGCUUAUCAGCUUGUUGGUGGGGUAGUGGCUUACCAAGGCUUUGACGGGUAGCCGGCCUGAGAGGGUGACCGGCAACAUUGGGACUGAGAUACGGCCCAGACUCCUACGGGAGGCAGCAGUGGGGAAUAUUGCACAAUGGGCGGAAGCCUGGUGCAGCAACGCCGCGUGCGGGAUGACGGCCUUCGGGUUGUAAACCGCUUUCGCCUGUGACGAAGCGUGAGUGACGGUAAUGGGUAAAGAAGCACCGGCUAACUACGUG